GAGUUUGAUCCUGGCUCAGAACGAACGCUGGCGGCGUGGAUAAGACAUGCAAGUCGAACGAGAGAAUUGCUAGCUUGCUAAUAAUUCUCUAGUGGCGCACGGGUGAGUAACACGUGAGUAACCUGCCCCCGAGAGCGGGAUAGCCCUGGGAAACUGGGAUUAAUACCGCAUAGUAUCGAAAGAUUAAAGCAGCAAUGCGCUUGGGGAUGGGCUCGCGGCCUAUUAGUUAGUUGGUGAGGUAACGGCUCACCAAGGCGAUGACGGGUAGCCGGUCUGAGAGGAUGUCCGGCCACACUGGAACUGAGACACGGUCCAGACACCUACGGGUGGCAGCAGUCGAGAAUCAUUCACAAUGGGGGAAACCCUGAUGGUGCGACGCCGCGUGGGGGAAUGAAGGUCUUCGGAUUGUAAACCCCUGUCAUGUGGGAGCAAAUUAAAAAGAUAGUACCACAAGAGGAAGAGACGGCUAACUCUGUGCCAGCAGCCGCGGUAAUACAGAGGUC
rnacentral:rRNA from 1 species